rnacentral:lncRNA from 1 species
AAUUUACUCUUUGUAAACUUUUGCAUGUACCACUUGAUCAUUUAGGUUUCGGCCCGGAUCCUUUAUCUAUGGUAGGCGAAACCUAAACCAAAGCUUAAGAAGUUAUACAAGCGUUUCUUUUCAAUCGAUUAGUGGUAUACAAAUAAUCAUUUACAUAAAAUUCAAAAGAUUUCCAUAUAAUAAAAGAGAGAAAUUAAAAUACGAGCAUCCGGUAGCACUUGGCCAUGUGUCAGCUCGACGGACGGCCAAGAGGAAUCAAGGCGGAGGAAAUGAUCAAACGGGAGGAGAGAAAAGCGGGAGAUGUGGAAGAGAGAAGCAUCUAUAAGAAUGUUUCCCAAGAAUCACUAUUAUAUU